GCGUGAGAGGAGGGUGAUGGAAGUGAUCUGAGAAAUACGGUCUGAACUUGAUCAGGUUAACGCCUGCGAAAGGACUUCAUGCUUUGCGCUC
rnacentral:ncRNA from 1 species